CAAUAGCGUAUAUUUAAGUUGUUGCAGUUAAAAAGCUCGUGGUUGGAUUUCGGGUGGGACGCAGCGGUCUCGCAUUGCGUUUGUACUGCUGCAGCCCUCCUUCUUGCCGGGGGCGGCCUCUCGGACUUCACUGUCUGGGGGUCAGAAUCGGCGAUGUUACUUUGAGUAAAUUAGAGUGUUCAAAGCAAGCUUACGCUCUGAAUAUAAUAGCAUGGGAUAACACGACAGGACUCUGGCCUAUCGUGUUGGUCUAUAGGACCAGAGUAAUGAUUAAGAGGGACAGUCGGGGGCAUUCGUAUUCCGUUGUCAGAGGUGAAAUUCUUGGAUUUACGGAAGACGAACAUCUGCGAAAGCAUUUGCCAAGGAUGUUUUCAUUGA
rnacentral:rRNA from 1 species